rnacentral:rRNA from 1 species
CUAGCGACUUCAGAGUUUGAUCCUGGCUCAGGAUAAACGCUGGCGGCGCACAUAAGACAUGCAAGUCGAACGGAAGUCGUUAUAAUUGAGUUUGAGUGAAAGAUUUAUCCGGAACGAUGAUGAUUUUAUACAAUGGCUUUAGUGGCGGACUGGUGAGUAACGCGUAAGCAAUCUGCCUAUCAGAGGGGAAUAACAGUGAGAAAUCAUUGCUAAUACCGCAUAUGCCAUGAACAUCGCAUGAUGAAAAUGGGAAAGGAGUAAUCCGCUGAUAGAUGAGCUUGCGUCUGAUUAACUAGUUGGUGGGGCAACGGCCUACCAAGGUGACGAUCAGUAGCCGGACUGAGAGGUUGAACGGCCACAUUGGGACUGAGAUACGGCCCAG